rnacentral:rRNA from 1 species
AUUGAACGCUGGCGGCAUGCCUUACACAUGCAAGUCGAACGGUAACAGGUCUUCGGAUGCUGACGAGUGUCGAACGGGUGAGUAAUACAUCGGAACGUGCCUAGUAGUGGGGGAUAACUACUCGAAAGAGUGGCUAAUACCGCAUGAGAUCUACGGAUGAAAGCAGGGGAUCGCAAGACCUUGUGCUACUAGAGCGGCCGAUGGCAGAUUAGGUAGUUGGUGGGAUAAAGGCUUACCAAGCCGACGAUCUGUAGCUGGUCUGAGAGGACGAUCAGCCACACUGGGACUGAGACACGGCCCAGACUCCUACGGGAGGCAGCAGUGGGGAAUUUUGGACAAUGGGCGAAAGCCUGAUCCAGCAAUGCCGCGUGCAGGAUGAAGGCCUUCGGGUUGUAAACUGCUUUUGUACGGAACGAAAAGCCCCGGGUUAAUACCCUGGGGUCAUGACGGUACCGUAAGAAUAAGCACCGGCUAACUACGUGCCAGCCGCCGCGGUAA